CAUUCAUUUUUUCUGAAGGCAGUGGAAAACUAUGGCUGGCCUUCCAGGGUCAGGGGCGAUGAAGGCGUUGAAAAUGUCUCAAUUGCUGAAACCAUGUGUGCAUAAUCAAAGGAUAGAACGCCUCUGGCGAGAUGUCUGGACCAGUGUGACACACCUUUACAAUGAAGUUCUUCACAGUCUCGAGGAAGAUGGCCUGUUGCAUUUGGCAGAUGUUGUUCAUCUGUUUUGUGCCCACUAUGUUUUCCUUCCAUGCCUGGCAGAGGCCCUUCACACCUUCACAGAAGGCUGGGACAACCAUCCUUUACGGUCUGAAGGUGGACUCUCCCCAAACCAGCUCUGGGUUUUGGG